rnacentral:ncRNA from 1 species
AGCUUAUAAAGAAAGACGGAGGGAUUAGACCCGACGAAGUCUUAGCAACCUGUGCUUACAAGGUGCUACAUUCUACUCGAACAGUUUCGGCUAUUCCUGAAAGAUAAGUU